UACGUAGGGCGCAAGCGUUGUCCGGAAUUAUUGGGCGUAAAGAGCUCGUAGGCGGUUUGUCGCGUCUGCUGUGAAAACUCGAGGCUCAACCUCGGGCUUGCGGUGGGUACGGGCAGACUAGAGUGUGGUAGGGGAGACUGGAAUUCCUGGUGUAGCGGUGAAAUGCGCAGAUAUCAGGAGGAACACCGAUGGCGAAGGCAGGUCUCUGGGCAUUAACUGACGCUGAGGAGCGAAAGCAUGGGGAGCGAACAGG
rnacentral:rRNA from 1 species